CGCCAACCUGAGACCACUCCGGAUGCCACACGAUCCAGCAGCACCACGAUCUUGUCUGAGGACCAUAAUGAGCAGUUGAAGCAUACUCAUCCUUGCACCUACAGCAGCGGCGUUGUUUUGGACUAUAGAAACGACGAUUCCUUGCCGCCGCAGCGGGGGCUUGAGCCUGAGGUGGAGCUCAACUUGCAAGAGAAAGCGUUGCUG